rnacentral:rRNA from 1 species
GAGUUUGAUCCUGGCUCAGAUUGAACGCUGGCGGCAGGCCUAACACAUGCAAGUCGAGCGGAUGACGGGAGCUUGCUCCUUGAUUCAGCGGCGGACGGGUGAGUAAUGCCUAGGAAUCUGCCUGGUAGUGGGGGGACAACGUUUCGAAAGGAACGCUAAUACCGCAUACGUCCUACGGGAGAAAGCAGGGGACCUUCGGGCCUUGCGCUAUCAGAUGAGCCUAGGUCGGAUUAGCUAGUUGGUGGGGUAAAGGCUCACCAAGGCGACGAUCCGUAGCAGGUCUGAGAGGAUGAUCUGCCACACUGGAACUGAGACACGGUCCAGACUCCUACGGGAGGCAGCAGUGGGGAAUUUUGGACAAUGGGGGCAACCCUGAUCCAGCCAUGCCGCGUGAGUGAAGAAGGCCUCGGUU